rnacentral:rRNA from 1 species
AGAGUUUGAUCCUGGCUCAGAGCGAACGCUGGCGGCAGGCUUAACACAUGCAAGUCGAGCGGGCACCUUCGGGUGUCAGCGGCAGACGGGUGAGUAACACGUGGGAACGUGCCCAUCGGUUCGGAACAACCCAGGGGAACUUGGGCUAAUACCGGAUACGACCUUAUGGUGAAAGAUUUAUCGCCGAUGGAUCGGCCCGCGUCUGAUUAGCUAGUUGGUGAGGUAACGGCUCACCAAGGCGACGAUCAGUAGCUGGUCUGAGAGGAUGAUCAGCCACACUGGGACUGAGACACGGCCCAGACUCCUACGGGAGGCAGCAGUGGGGAAUAUUGGACAAUGGGCGAAAGCCUGAUCCAGCCAUGCCGCGUGAGUGAUGAAGGCCUUAGGGUUGUAAAGCUCUUUCGGCGGGGACGAUAAUGACGGUACCCGCAGAAGAAGCCCCGGCUAACUUCGUGCCAGCAGCCGCGGUAAUACGAAGGGGGCUAGCGUUGCUCGGAAUCACUGGGCGUAAAGGGCGCGUAGGCGGCCGAUCAAGUCAGAGGUGAAAGCCCAAGGCUCAACCUUGGAAUUGCCUUUGAUACUGUUCGGCUCGAGACCGGAAGAGGUUAGUGGAACUGCGAGUGUAGAGGUGAAAUUCGUAGAUAUUCGCAAGAACACCAGUGGCGAAGGCGGCUAACUGGUCCGGUUCUGACGCUGAGGCGCGAAAGCGUGGGGAGCAAACAGGAUUAGAUACCCUAGUAGUCC